GACGAACGCUGGCGGCGUGCCUAAAACAUGCAAGUCGAACGGUAGUAGCAAUACUAUAGUGGCGAACGGCGGAGUAAUACAUAAGCAACGUGCCCCGAAGUCCGGGAUAGCCGUGGGAAACCGCGAGUAAUACCGGAUGUGACUCUUGGAGGACAUCCUUCGAGAAUUAAACGGUUUUUCGCUCGGGAGCGGCUUAUGGCCUAUCAGCUUGUUGGCGGGGUAACGGCCCACCAAGGCGACGAC
rnacentral:rRNA from 1 species